GCAUGACAUCAUUCUGUGUACCGAUAAGAAGCAGUUUGAGGCAGUUCAAACAGGCUUUGUUUUAGGAUCUUAGAUGAUGUUUAGGCGAACAUUGAACAGAAGAACAUGUUUGUGUCUCUGUAAGCAGACAAACAUUCUGAUCUCAGUGACAUCACAUGGCCUUCUGAGUCGUUAUCCUCACAUGAGAAUGAAACAGAACAAGAACAAAACUAUUUCAAAGUAAAAAUGAAUAAUUUCCCUCACAGUGUAAUGAACAGAAUCUGCUGUUUGUUAAUAACUGGAAUCUGUUCUGGGAGCGUCCUAGGUUGUUUCAUCCUGAUGGCCUGCACCCCAGCAGCCUCGGAGCGGAACUGCUGUCUGACAACAUCUCCAAGACGCUACACACCAAGUGACUGUCUACCUCAAUGGUGCAACAAGGUAUCUGGACUAGAUGACCUAUCUGGCCUUUGAUUAGGCCUACUGCAUCUUCUGAUGGAGAUGUAAAACGAAGUGCGUGAGUUUAAAAGACCCGUGUAUUCCUGUAGUUGUUGGAAGCUCAGCGGGCGAGACGUGCGGCUCUGAUCGCUCGGAUCAAUAGUCUAAGGCUGGAAGUUCAGUGCAUAGGGUAAGUCAACACCUGUUUAUCAGUGUUUAUUUACAGUCACAGUGUUUAACUCACGCUUCACGUGCAGAAAAAGAAGGACAGGGUGAAGGAAAUGCGCCAUACCGUGACGUAGGGCACGGCCAACAGGCUGCAGCUCCAGACCCGGCGGUAAGGAUGCACAAUUCAGCUAAUUAAAACUUGUCUUUUUUUUUUAAAACUACGUUCAACCACUCUGCUAACGAUUAAUCAGUGACUCGAUCACUUGAGUUUUAUUUUACUGUGUUUAUAUUGUUUGGGGAGAGUGUGUGUUCUGUCCAUGGAUAACGGUUUAGAUGUACAACGAAGUGCGUGAGUUUAAAAGACCUGUGUUCCUGUAGGUGUUGAGAGCUCAGUGGAGGAUACGUUUGGCUCGGAUCAGGAGGAUCCUUAGGCUCUUGCCGGAGUUUCUGCGCAUGUGGUAAGUGUAGGAGUCAGCACCUGUUUCAGUGUUUUACAGUCACAGCGUUUAACCUCACGGUUCCUACCUCGCCAGGCAGAUCAUGUCUGAGGUCAAGGCACUCAUCACUCAGAUCACAGAUGUGUUAAAGUAACAUCUGAACUUAUUCACUCUUAUUCUCUGUCUCUCUCUCGCUAUACAUUCAUUAUGAACCGGUUUCACUGACUGCGUUUAACGUGCAGACUGGCUGUGUCCUUGCAGCGUGUGAUUUCUAUUUCGUCUGUGUGUUUUCUUAAGGAGGUGGAAGAUUGAGGAGACGAUAUUUUUUUUCUUUUUUUUUUUGUUAAAUAAAAGGUUUCUUUAAACAACCAACACCUGCCUGACUGUACGAGUUAUUUACACGAACCAGCCGCAGGAAGGUCUUGCUAUUAGGGAUGUGAAAGUGAUAAUAUCUUUUUGUACAGAGCAUAAUAGAACUGAGGCAUCAGGAAUCCCAAAUAUAGUAAUGAAUGGGCAAGGUUUUAAAUCUACUCUGAGAAUAGUGGACAUGACAGUAAAGAAACCAGUCCAAAAACCAUGGAGAUCAGGGCAAAAGAAAAACAUAUGGCCAAGAUGACAGGGAGAGCCAUGGCAUUUAUCACACUUGUCCUCUACUUCUGGAUAUAUUACAGAAAGUCUCGACUUGGACAAAUGGAUUCUGUGUAAAACUUUGAACUGGAUGAGUCCAAGACGAGCACAGGAAGUGGUAGACUGUAUCCUACCUAUAGCACGUUCCCAACACUCCUCACUUAUCUGUACUCCUAACUCCAUUUCCCACGCAUUCUUAAUUUUGGUACCCGCCUCACUACCUAACACCAGAAUAAAAUCAUAAA